AGGUUUCCGUAGGUGAACCUGCGGAAGGAUCAUUC
rnacentral:rRNA from 1 species